GAACAUAAGAGUUUGAUCCUGGCUCAGAUUGAACGCUGGCGGCAUGCUUUACACAUGCAAGUCGGACGGCAGCACAGGGAAGCUUGCUUCUCGGGUGGCGAGUGGCGAACGGGUGAGUAACAUAUCGGAACGUACCGGGUAGCGGGGGAUAACUGAUCGAAAGAUCAGCUAAUACCGCAUACGUCUUGAGAGGGAAAGCAGGGGACCUUCGGGCCUUGCGCUAUCCGAGCGGCCGAUAUCUGAUUAGCUGGUUGGCGGGGUAAAGGCCCACCAAGGCGACGAUCAGUAGCGGGUCUGAGAGGAUGAUCCGCCACACUGGGACUGAGACACGGCCCAGACUCCUACGGGAGGCAGCAGUGGGGAAUUUUGGACAAUGGGCGCAAGCCUGAUCCAGCCAUGCCGCGUGUCUGAAGAAGGCCUUCGGGUUGUAAAGGACUUUUGUCAGGGAAGAAAAGGCCGUUGCCAAUAUCGGCGGCCGAUGACGGUACCUGAAGAAUAAGCACCGGCUAACUACGUGCCAGCAGCCGCGGUAAUACGUAGGGUGCGAGCGUUAAUCGGAAUUACUGGGCGUAAAGCGGGCGCAGACGGUUACUUAAGCAGGAUGUGAAAUCCCCGGGCUCAACCCGGGAACUGCGUUCUGAACUGGGUGACUCGAGUGUGUCAGAGGGAGGUGGAAUUCCACGUGUAGCAGUGAAAUGCGUAGAGAUGUGGGGGAAUACCGAUGGCGAAGGCAGCCUCCUGGGAUAACACUGACGUUCAUGUCCGAAAGCGUGGGUAGCAAACAGGAUUAGAUACCCUGGUAGUCCACGCCCUAAACGAUGUCAAUUAGCUGUUGGGCAACUUGAUUGCUUGGUAGCGUAGCUAACGCGUGAAAUUGACCGCCUGGGGAGUACGGUCGCAAGAUUAAAACUCAAAGGAAUUGACGGGGACCCGCACAAGCGGUGGAUGAUGUGGAUUAAUUCGAUGCAACGCGAAGAACCUUACCUGGUUUUGACAUGUGCGGAAUCCUCCGGAGACGGAGGAGUGCCUUCGGGAGCCGUAACACAGGUGCUGCAUGGCUGUCGUCAGCUCGUGUCGUGAGAUGUUGGGUUAAGUCCCGCAACGAGCGCAACCCUUGUCAUUAGUUGCCAUCAUUCGGUUGGGCACUCUAAUGAGACUGCCGGUGACAAGCCGGAGGAAGGUGGGGAUGACGUCAAGUCCUCAUGGCCCUUAUGACCAGGGCUUCACACGUCAUACAAUGGUCGGUACAGAGGGUAGCCAAGCCGCGAGGCGGAGCCAAUCUCACAAAACCGAUCGUAGUCCGGAUUGCACUCUGCAACUCGAGUGCAUGAAGUCGGAAUCGCUAGUAAUCGCAGGUCAGCAUACUGCGGUGAAUACGUUCCCGGGUCUUGUACACACCGCCCGUCACACCAUGGGAGUGGGGGAUACCAGAAGUAGGUAGGGUAACCGCAAGGAGUCCGCUUACCACGGUAUGCUUCAUGACUGGGGUGAAGUCGUAACAAGGUAGCCGUAGGGGAACCUGCGGCUGGAUCACCUCCUUU
rnacentral:rRNA from 1 species